ACGAACGCUGGCGGCAUGGAUUAGGCAUGCAAGUCGAACGCUUGUAGCAAUACAGGAGUGGCGAAAGGGUGAGGAACACGUGAGUAACCUACCCUCAAGUUGGGAAUAACACCGGGAAACUGGUGCUAAUACCGAAUGUGGCUGUAUAACCGCAUGGUUUAACAGCUAAAGAUUUAUCGCUUGAGGAGGGGCUCGCGUCCCAUUAGCUAGUUGGUGAGGUAACGGCUCACCAAGGCAACGAUGGGUAGCUGGUCUGAGAGGAUGGCCAGCCACACUGGGACUGAGACACUGCCCAGACUCCUACGGGAGGCUGCAGUCGAGAAUCUUGGGCAAUGCGCGAAAGCGUGACCCAGCAAUGCCGCGUGCAGGAUGAAGGCCUUCGGGUUGUAAACUGCUGUCACCCGGGACGAAGAAUUGACGGUACCGGGAGAGGAAGCCACGGCUAACUACGU
rnacentral:rRNA from 1 species